GUAGUCUGCAACCCGACUACAUGAAGCUGGAAUCGCUAGUAAUCGCGGAUCAGAAUGCCGCGGUGAAUACGUUCCCGGGUCUUGUACACACCGCCCGUCACACCAUGGGAGUCGGAAAUGCCCGAAGUCUGUGACCUAACCGCAAGGGAGGAGCAGCCGAAGGCAGGUCGGAUGACUGGGGUGAAGUCGUAACAAGGUACC
rnacentral:rRNA from 1 species